AGCAGCCGCGGUAAUUCCAGCUCCAAUAGCGUAUAUUAAAGUUGUUGCAGUUAAAAAGCUCGUAGUUGAAUUUCGAGACCGGCUUACUGGUCGUGCUAUUGUACGUACUGGUAUAAUCGGUUUCUCCUUUCUGACGAACUAUAAUGCCAUUAAUUUGGUGUUAUAGGGAAUCAGGACUGUUACUUUGAAAAAAUUAGAGUGUUUAAAGCAGGCUCACGCUUGAAUACAUUAGCAUGGAAUAACGGAAUAGGACGUUUGACUCUAUUUUGUUGGUUUCUAGGAUCGACGUAAUGAUUAAUAGGGAUAGUUGGGGGCAUUAGUAUUCAAUUGUCAGAGGUGAAAUUCUUGGAUUUAUUGAAGACUAACUACUGCGAAAGCAUUUGCCAAGGAUGUUUUCAUUAAUCAAGAACGAAAAGUUAGGGGAUCGAAGACGAUCAGAUACCGUCGUAGUCUUAACCAUAAACUAUGCCGACUAGGGAUCGGAUGAUGUUAAUUUUUUAAUGACUCAUUCGGCGCCUUA
rnacentral:rRNA from 1 species